rnacentral:RNase_P_RNA from 1 species
AGACCGGGCCAGGCGAUCGCUCUUGUCCGCCGCCGCAAGGCUUUGGCGCGACGAGAGAGGAAAGUCCGAACACGGGCCGCCUCUCGGGGCGGCAGGAAGGUAGCGGGUAACGCCCGCACGCCGCAAGGCGAGAGGUGACCACAGAGACGCCAAAGCCGAAAGGCAGAGGGUUCCUUCGGGAAUAGUUCCGUCGAAAGGCGGAAGUGCAACGAACAAAUCCUUACCCCCGUGCAAGGCCGUAUCGUCGGCGCGAAGCGUCGGCGGGGUGCCGCUCGAGCUCACAAGCAAUUAUGAGCCAAGAUAAAUGAUCGUCCGCGACAGAAUUCGGCUUAUCGGCCCGGUCUAAAA